GUAACUUACCACAAAGUUUAUUUAUCUAUUCUAUAUAGUCCCACUUCUAAUUAUGCAAUGUCCUCACAAAAAUUAUUUAGCCUCAACUUAUAAAGACGUAGCAGUGUUGGUUUCUUCAAUCAACGGUGUUGGCUUACCACUCUUUGAAUUGGUGACAUUCUCCUCUUUACAUCUUCUGCCAUUCUUCUGUCAGUUUUAAAAGUAUCUCUAAAGGUAUUAUCGUUGAAACUGGCAUAUUGGUUCGUACUAAAUUAUUGGCCUUCUUUGCUAAUGCUGCUCGUUGAGUCUGUAAUAUCGCAACCUCUACCUGCAGCCGUUCUUGCCAUUCCUUCCA
rnacentral:lncRNA from 1 species